rnacentral:tRNA from 1 species
UCCGAUGUAGUGUAGUUGGUUAACAUCUCUGUUUCUCACACAGAAGCCUCGGGUUCAAAUCCCGGCGUCGGAA